CCUGCCCCUAGAGGCCUUGCAGGUGUGGCUGCUGUGUCACACGUGUGUCAGUAGGUGGCAGAGAGGAGAGAGGCUGUAUCUAAGCUCAGUGAUCUGACCUGACAUCUGAAUGAUUAACACCCUAACAUU